rnacentral:RNase_P_RNA from 1 species
CGGAGUAGUCGGAGGAAAGUCCGGGCAACACAGAGCCACCAUACUUCCUAACGGGAAGGUGCUUCUGAAAGGGAGCAACAGCAAGUGCCACAGAAAAUAACCGCUGCACUCUGUUGCAGUAAGGGUGAAAAUGUGAGGUAAGAGCUCACAGUAAGGCAUAGUGAUAUGCUUUGCGGGUAAACCUUAUGGGUUGAAAGACCAAAUAUACCGACAGUUAAGAGUUGGCUCGUUCGUUGUCGGGGGGUAGGUUGAUUGAGGCAUUUGGCAACAAAUGUCCUAGAUAAAUGAUAGAACUUUUUCGUACGAAAAUGACAGAACCCGGCUUAUAGGUUGCC